rnacentral:rRNA from 1 species
GCACAAGCGGAGGAGCAGUGUGGUUUUAAUUCGAUGAUACGCGAGGAACCUUACCUGGGCUCGAACGUAAGAUGACUGUAGUGAAAGCUUACAUCUCUUCGGAGCAUUUUACGAGGUGCUGCAUGGUUGUCGUCAGCUCGUGUCGUGAGAUGUUGGGUUAAGUCCCGCAACGAGCGCAACCCCUAUUGCCAGUUGCUAACAGGAGAGCUGAGCACUCUGGCGAGACUGCCGCCGACAAGGCGGAGGAAGGUGGGGAUGACGUCAAGUCAUCAUGGCCUUUAUGCCCAGGGCUACACACGUGCUACAAUGGCCGGCACAGACGGCAGCUUAGUGGCGACACUUGGCAAAUCCUCUAAAGCCGGUCCCAGUUCGGAUUGCAGUCUGCAACUCGACUGCAUGAAGCCGGAAUCGCUAGUAAUCGCAGAUCAGCCAAGCUGCGGUGAAUACGUUCCCGGGCCUU